rnacentral:rRNA from 1 species
CAGUCGCCGCGGGAAUACAGAGGGUGCGAGCGUUAAUCGGAUUUACUGGGCGUAAAGCGUGCGUAGGCGGCUUCUUAAGUCGGAUGUGAAAUCCCUGAGCUUAACUUAGGAAUUGCAUUCGAUACUGGGAAGCUAGAGUAUGGGAGAGGAUGGUAGAAUUCCAGGUGUAGCGGUGAAAUGCGUAGAGAUCUGGAGGAAUACCGAUGGCGAAGGCAGCCAUCUGGCCUAAUACUGACGCUGAGGUACGAAAGCGUGGGGAGCAAACAGGAUUAGAUACCCGAGUAGUCCCUGUCUCUUAUAC